rnacentral:rRNA from 1 species
UACGAAGGGAGCUAGCGUUUUUCGGAAUUACUGGGCGUAAAGCGCGUGUAGGCGGCCGAUUAAGUUGGAAGUGAAAUCCCAAGGCUUAACCUUGGAGUGGCUUCCAAAACUGGUUGGCUAGAGAAUGAUAGAGGAUGGCGGAAUUCCUAGUGUAGAGGUGAAAUUCUUAGAUAUUAGGAGGAACAUCGAUGGCGAAGGCAGCCAUCUGGGUCAUUUCUGACGCUGAGACGCGAAAGCGUGGGGAGCAAACAGG